rnacentral:rRNA from 1 species
UCUCAGUUCAGAUUGCAGGCUGNAACCGCCUGCAUGAAGUCGGAAUUGCUAGUAAUCGCGGAUCAGCAUGCCGCGGUGAAUACGUUCCCGGGCCUUGUACACACCGCCCGUCACACCAUGGGAGCCGGUAAUACCCGAAGUCAGUAGUCCAACCUCGUGAGGACGCUGCCGAAGGUAGGAUUGGCGACUGGGGUGAAGUCGUAACAAGGUACC